CGUGUUCAGGGAGUGGCCUUGGGUGGCACAGGCCACCCCUGAAAUCUGAUUGGCCACCCCAAGUGCCACCCCAAUAUCUUAAAAUAUGAUUGGCUAUAUGCCCAGUCAGAGGCGGGCCACGGCACUGAAUGUAAACUGCACUCUUGUUUAGAGUUGCAGUUCCUUCUCAAACCUGAGAGGCAGAGAUGCGCUAAAGUAGUAUGUAGCCUGCAAAAAAAAAGGCGGGAAAAGAAGAAGUUUGAGCAGGUGAACCUACAGGUGAAACAAACUGUUUUUCUACAGUCAGUCUAUCGAAGCAACACGUCUCUGGAGCGUCGUCGUGAAAGAUGUGAGUAGCCUACAUUUUACUACACUUACUGUGCCUGUAGUUAAAAGCUGUAACGGUCUUGUUUUAUUUCUUUUUAUUGUAACAUCAAUUACAUUUCGUUUUCAUUCGUGUGUAUGCACAAUUAUCUAUUGUACAACAUAUAAGAAUGUCGUGCAUUAUGGGACUAUUACAGUAUGAAAAGAAAUCAGAAUAUAAAGGAUUUCUUCAAAAGAAAGAAAUCCAAAAUAGAGGCAGAGCAGUCAGUCAGAGGAUGAGAGCCAGCUUGUCCUGAAACAGCCUUCAGCUUCAGCUGUACACAUAGGUAUGUGAAAUCCUGAUAGUUCAAGUUUGUUCUCAUGUUUGAACUUACUCAUUUGGUUUGACUGUAACAUACCACUUAGUUUACUUAGGAAAGGCUGAUUGUAUUAUCAUUCUAAUCACAGCUUAUGUAUUAUUAUAGAGUCACAUGUGGAUGGUAAAGAUGAAAGACCCUCAACAUCACAUACACAUCAGGGUGUGUCCAGUGCUGACAAUCCAGAGGUUCCUGCAGGCCAUGCACAGGGGGAUAGUGGUGUGGCAGCCCCAUUUGGCGGGCUCGGACCUAUUGAGUCAAAUGAAGAUUCCUGUGAUGAAGGCCCCUUACCGUCACAUACACAGCACAGUAUGUAUGCUUUACCUUUUUUUUUUGUUGUUGUAAUGUUUUUAAACAUUACAGUAUCCGCUUUUAUAUGGAUCAUUAUAUUAAUAACACUGGUGUUUAAAAGCUACAAUGUUAAAACAAGAUUUGCUGGUAUGUGAGGAGGAAUGUGACUUUUGUUUAUACCUGGGAGUUCAGGUUUCUCUGUUGCUGAGAAUACUACAGUAACUUACUACACUGUGGCACAUGUGACAAGUUUUGUCAAGUAAAUGUUUUGCCCAAACAGGCUUAUUUAUUGUAAUUGUGUUGGCACUUUAUACAGAAAGUGCAUUGUCUUUUUUGUAUGUACUGUAUAUCAUACCUUGGAAGGUUGUUUUGAGGUUAGAAUAAAGUAUGGUAGUUUUCAA